UACGUAGGGUGCAAGCGUUAAUCGGAAUUACUGGGCGUAAAGCGCACGUAGGCGGUUCGUUAAGUCGGAUGUGAAAGCCCUCGGCUCAACUGAGGAAGUGCACCCGAAACUGGCGAGCUUGAGUACGAAAGAGGAUCGCGGAAUUCCCGGUGUAGAGGUGAAAUUCGUAGAUAUCGGGAGGAACACCGGCGGCGAAGGCGGCGAUCUGGGUCGAUACUGACGCUGAGGUGCGAAAGCGUGGGGAGCAAACAGG
rnacentral:rRNA from 1 species